rnacentral:rRNA from 1 species
ACAGGGAUUGCCCUAGUAACGGCGAGUGAAGCGGCAACAGCUCAAAUUUGAAAUCUGGCCUCGGCCCGAGUUGUAAUUUGCAGAGGAUGCUUUUGGUGCGGUGCCUUCCGAGUUCCCUGGAACGGGACGCCACAGAGGGUGAGAGCCCCGUAUGGUCGGACACCAAUCCUGUGUAAAGCUCCUUCGACGAGUCGAGUAGUUUGGGAAUGCUGCUCUAAAUGGGAGGUAAAUCUCUUCUAAAGCUAAAUACCGGCCAGAGACCGAUAGCGCACAAGUAGAGUGAUCGAAAGAUGAAAAGCACCUUGAAAAGGGGGUUAAACAGUACGUGAAAUUGUUGAAAGGGAAGCACUUGUGACCAGACUUGGGCCGGGCGGCUCAUCAGGGGUUCUCCCCUGUGCAUUCCGCCCGGUACAGGCCAGCAUCGGUUCUUACCGGGGGAUAAGAACGGCAGGAACGUGGCUCGCCUUCGGGGGAGUGUUAUAGCCUGCCGUACGAUACCCUGGCGGGGACCGAGGUUCGCGCUUCCGCAAGGAUGCUGGCGUAAUGGUUACUAGUGACCCGUCUUGAAACACGGACCAAGGAGUCGUCCAUUAGAGCGAGCGUUUGGGUGUAAAACCCGCACGCGUAAUGAAAGUGAAAUUAGGUGAGAGCUUCGGCGCAUCAUCGACCGAUCCUGAUGUUCUCGGAUGGAUUUGAGUAAGAGUUUUAACGGACGGACCCGAAAGACAGUGAACUAUGCUUGUAUAGGGUGAAGCCAGAGGAAACUCUGGUGGAGGCUCGCAGCGGUUCUGACGU